GGGCGCAUAGCUCAGCUGGUCAGAGCAGCUGCCUUACAAGCAGCAGGUCGGGGGUUCAAGUCCCUCUGCGCCCA
rnacentral:tRNA from 1 species